rnacentral:rRNA from 1 species
GACGAACGCUGGCGGCGUGCUUAACACAUGCAAGUCGAACGGUGAAGCGCCUUCCUUUUUGGUGGGUGUGGAUGAGUGGCGAACGGGUGAGUAACACGUGAGUAACCCGCCCCCUUCUUCUGGAUAACCGCAUGAAAGUGUGGCUAAUACGGGAUAUUCUGGGUCUGUCGCAUGAUGGGUCUGGGAAAGAUAUUGUUUCGGUGGGGGAUGGGCUCGCGGCCUAUCAGCUUGUUGGUGGGGUGACGGCCUACCAAGGCGGUGACGGGUAGCCGGCCUGAGAGGGUGGACGGUCACACUGGGACUGAGACACGACCCAGACUCCUACGGGAGGCAGCAGUGGGGAAUAUUGCACAAUGGGCGCAAGCCUGAUGCAGCGACGCCGCGUGAGGGAUGGAGGCCUUCGGGUUGUGAACCUCUUUCGCCAGUGAAGCAGGCCUGCCUCGUUUGUGGGUGGGUUGACGGUAGCUGGAUAAGAAGCGCCGGCUAACUACGUG